CUACUGGUGUGGCAUAGGGUGGCAAAUGCCACCCCAAAAGAAAGCCUUGCCAACUCUGCUGCCACCCCAAUUUGCAAGGACGAAUUUGACAUUUACGAUCGAGGAACUCCAAUGUCUGACUGCAGUGAAUGCAGCACGAGAUGAGGCCAGAGCGGCAGCAGCACAGGAGCAGUAAGAGACCGAUUUGUUUCGAAAAAGCGAGGGAGCCAGGAGUCGCGAGGAAAGAAGACACAGGAGGAAAGAGGGCAGUGCAGAAGGAGCAACAGGUGUUCCCCAUCUGCCAUAAUCAGCCAGCUCAAGAACAGGUGGAAGGCAACCAAUCAAGCUUCAUUCAUUCUGCAAUAUAACCAGACGCCUCCCAUCUCUCAGUGCCGGAUCGUGACACAGCUCUUCCGGACCCACCUGUUUCUGCCGUUUUGCCGUCAACCUUGGACUCUGGUUAUCACCUCAGAGAAAAGGAAACACUCACCAGAGCCGACUCCCUCCUUCUGGCGUCCUUCCCCACUCACCUGUUGCUGCUUCACGCUAUCCACCAUCUGGCCCAAAGCACGCUGCUCCAAACCCUGGCUGCCACCGCUGUGAACCAGUUCUGAGCAUUCCUUGUAUAAUUCAUGUAUCCAAGUCCAGGUGUGAGGUGCCAGUGCAGCCAAUGCGAGACAGUUUCCCUAAGACCCUCCAGGGAGGAGCCAGAAGAAGCUUCCGCAGCGACUGGUACAAAUUUCAUCCCUGGUUAGAAUACUCACAAUCAAAAGAUGCAGCUUAUUGUCUUGCAUGUCAGCAUUUUUCCCUCCCGGAUGCUCCAAAGACUGUUUUCACCUCAUUGCAACUGGAAAAAGGCUACAAUGAAAGACAGUGGUAUCUGUUCUCAUGCCAGAUCUGAAGGACAUGUAAAUGCAAUGUUUGCAUGGACAGAGAACAAGAAAAUUCAGGAUAAAAAUACCUCAGUGUUUGGACUAAUAGAUGAGCAAAAAAAAAAGAAGCAGAUGGCUGAAAAUCAGUACUACAUUAGAACAUUAGCUGAAAUUUUAGUUCUAACAGCCACAGAAAACAUUGAUACAACUCAAAGAAAACCAAAGAGGCCAAGACAGACAAAAAGGGGCUCCAGGAUACUAUCGUCCACUCCACUUUGGGACAGCAUGUAGUUCCAGAUAGCAAACACACUUUUUGUGUCUCUGUGUACUAUCCAGUUCUGGAUAACAUGAUUGGAGAAAUAGGAAGAAGAUUUUCUAACACGCAUUGUAAAAUUAUGCAGGGUGUCCAGGCACUAAAUCCGUCAAGUCCAAGUUUUUUGAGAGAGGAAGCUGUUCUGUUAUUUGCUGAAGCUUAUGAUUCAAAUAUUGAGGAUCUCAAACAUGAGUUACAUCAGACGAGGAGAAUACUGGACAGAAAAAAGGUGGAAAAGGAGAGUCCUACCACUCUAAUGGAGUUCACUCAGUUUUUGGACCCAUACCAGGAUGUUUUUUAUGAGAUGUUCAGAUUGUGUAAAAUAGUGGUUGUUUUACCUGUGAGCAGUGCAUCCUGUGAGCGAAGUUUUUCAUCUCUCAGGCUGAUAAAGACUUAUUUGCGGUCUACUAUGACAGAAAAGAGACUGUCGAGUUUGGCUGUACUCAGCAUUGAAUCAAAAUGCACAAAAGCAUUAGAUCUAGAUAAAUUUGUGAAGCGUUUUGCUGAGCAGCAUGGAAAUCGCCGCAUUCAGCUGUUAUAGGCAUGCCAACUUCAUAUUAUGCUCACUGGUGAGCCUUUACAAAGGUGUUAAAUGGUGACCUCAACAGAAUCUGCACUUUUUUUUCUGUAUUUAUAUCUUUGUUUUGGCAACUGAGAAAAUCUGAUAUCACCUUUAAUAAAACCUAAUGUGAGAAAAAAAAGUCUAAAAUGUGACACUAUAGUGUAAAUGGUGUCAAUCCUGCUGAACAGGAAGCAGUGUUGUUGUUUUUUAAUGUCUCGUUUGUAUAUACAUUAUAAAACUGUACAGAAAGGCCCUGUAUGAACUGUAUGAAGUAAAUACAACAUCUCCUUAUUUUUA